UUUUUCAUUGGAGAGUUUGAUCCUGGCUCAGGACGAACGCUGGCGGCGUGCUUAACACAUGCAAGUCGAACGGAAAGGCCCCUUUGGGGGUACUCGAGUGGCGAACGGGUGAGUAAC
rnacentral:rRNA from 1 species